AGAGUUUGAUCAUGGCUCAGGAUGAACGCUGGCGGCGUGCUUAACACAUGCAAGUCGAACGGACCUUCGGGUCAGUGGCGGACGGGUGAGUAACACGUAGCUAACCUGCCCUCAAGUGCGGGAUAACGGUGCGAAAGCGCUGCUAAUACCGCAUAAGCUCCCGUCCUGUAGAGGGAUGCGAGAAAAGCGUAUACGCUUGAGGAGGGGGCUGCGGCCCAUCAGGUAGUUGGUGUGGUAACGGCGCACCAAGCCGACGACGGGUAGGGGGCCUGAGAGGGUGAUCCCCCACACUGGGACUGAGACACGGCCCAGACUCCUACGGGAGGCAGCAGUGAGGAAUAUUGGUCAAUGGGGGCAACCCUGAACCAGCAACGCCGCGUGGGUGACGAAGGCCUUCGGGUCGUAAAGCCCUUUUGCAGGUGACGAGGAAGGACGGUAGCCUGCGAAGAAGUGUCGGCUAACUACGUGCCAGCCGCCGCGGUAAUAC
rnacentral:rRNA from 1 species